rnacentral:lncRNA from 1 species
CCCAGCCUCUGUCUUCCACCUCCGUCCAUCGUCCCUCUCCUUGAGCCUCUUCCCCAGCCGCGCCCUACUCGGUUCCCCCUGCGUCGCGCGCCUGGCUUGCUCCCUGCUAGGCGUUCUCCUCCCCUGCUUCUAUAGCGGCUGAGCUCCCUCUGCUUGCGCGUCCCUUGCUCCUCCCAGCCGGCCGAGCUCCUGCUUCCCCUCCGUGGAGCACCCCCUGCUCCUGCUCCCCGAGCUCGCCCCUGCGCUCGGAUUUUCUCCCUCGGCCAUGGUAGCCGCGCGCCAUUCCUGCUCGCCCUUCGCUCGGCCGCCUCUCCUUGGUCUCCCAUGGCGCCCUGGCUGCGACCUCGCCUUGGUUAUCACAUCUUCUCGUGUUGUUGUGCGUUUGUUGAUGUUUUAGUCAUCGCAUAGCUCGCUGAUGGCCGGGCAUUUCACCUUCGAUUAGCUCACCAUGACGCCGACGUCUAGCCCUGACUCCAGUCUCCUCGCCACGAAAGCACAACCGCUACUCAGUGUGUUGAUGUCAUAUGCGUGGCACCGUCGUGGGUUGUCGUCGUUCGUCGUCGCGUCAUGUGUGCAACAACGUCGCUGAUUCCUCCAUGGUGCUUGUCGAUGAACUUCGCUUCAUAGGUUCCCCGCCUUCGGUUCGGCUCACGUAUGCACACCGAACGCAUUCACCGCUUGACCCUGUGUCGCUGUGUCGCUAGAGCUCGUGACCUCGCCGUCGUCGGAGUCCUCACUGGAUUCGUGUCCUCGUAAGAGCUCGCGCUAACCUGCUCGACCACACCUCACCAGCUCGCUGCAGACUCGAUCUCGUCGUCAUUCCGUGCGUCAUCAAGAAAACCCAAGAGUCGGGU